rnacentral:rRNA from 1 species
CCUACGGAGGGCAGCAGUGGGGAAUAUUGGGCAAUGGGCGCAAGCCUGACCCAGCAACGCCGCGUGAAGGAAGAAGGCUUUCGGGUUGUAAACUUCUUUUGUAAGGGACGAAGCAAGUGACGGUACCUGACGAAUAAGCCACGGCUAACUACGUGCCAGCAGCCGCGGUAAUACGUAGGUGGCAAGCGUUAUCCGGAUUUACUGGGUGUAAAGGGGGUGUAGGGGGGACUGAAAGUCCGAUGUGAAAACCACGGGCUCAACCUGUGGCCUGCAUUUGAAACUGUAGUUCUUGAGGACUGGAGAGGCAGACGGAAUUCCUAGUGUAGCGGUGAAAUGCGUAGAUAUUAGGAGGAACACCAGUGGCGAAGGCGGUCUGCUGGACAUCAACUGACGCUGAGGCGCGAAAGCGUGGGGAGCAAACAGGAUUAGAUACCCGAGUAGUC